GCGUCCGUGGUGUAGUGGUCAGCACGCUCGACGCCUAUUCGAGAGGUCCGUGGUUCGAGUCCUGGUGAAGGCA
rnacentral:tRNA from 1 species